GUACAUGACUACAACAUAGCGUUAAUGCACCAGAUCCCAUUAGAACUCAACAAUUAAGCACGCUCAGGCUAGAGUAGUAUUGGGAUGCGUGACCGCCCGGGAAGUCCUAGUGUUUUAUAUG
rfam:Picea glauca, whole genome shotgun sequence.